rnacentral:lncRNA from 1 species
AAUACUUGAAUAUUGAUGGGUAAAAAAAUACAACAACCAAACAGGAAAACCAAAUUAAUGAUAAAUAAACUGCAUAAUGCUAACCUCCAAAGUCACAGCAAAUUCAUCAAGCAAAACAAAAAGUCAUCUUUCCAAUACUAAUAAACCAGAAAUACAUCAGCCAAAUGGUUGAUUGCGAAUUUAAUACAAAGGAUACUGGCUUUAAUGUGGUAAUUUACAAAAAAAAAAAAAAAUAUCACAGCAGUUUGCUAUGCAUGUCCGCUUUCUUCAACCCAAAUUCCCUAGCUUUACUAAGUUGCUCAGCAUCCACUCUCAAUCUUUGAAAAGCGAUACUCGAUAUCCCUUGCUGUGUUUGCCACCUCAGUGAGUCCAAUUUUGUCUUUUGCUUCUCAAUCCCCUUAGAAAUCUCAGCCAUCUCGUCAUAACGCCGGAAGUGUGAGGGAGAGAGAAGCUGGUGAGGCAAGCCGGAAGCGUGAGGGAGCUUCUGGAAGCGUGAGGGAGAGAGAAGCUGGUGAGGCACGCCGGAAGCCGUGAGGGAGAGAGGAAAGUGAGGACUGGAGAUAACUUGAUAAGAUUUCCCUCUGCACUAAGCGAUAAAUGAGUCUUUCUUUAUUCAUUUUUUAUUCAUUCUUUUCUUAUUUUAAUGUCUUUCUUUAUUCAUUUUUUAUUCAUUUUUUUCUUAUUUUAAUGUUUUAUGUAGUGAGAG